rnacentral:lncRNA from 1 species
AACAUAUAAGUUUUCUUAUGAAAGAGGUACAUUGUAACCAUGUAACUUGUUAACUUUACGAAAUAACAGCAUAAAUUACAGCAAAAUUAAAGGGGGAAAAACUUCGAAACCAACAGAGAUCAUACUAUAAUGUUUUAUAGUGCCUAAUACACUUGUCACAACAUUUCAUCAUUCACUUGAGCAAGAUACAAAAAAGGUAACUAUGAACAAAGGGCAAAGCAAUAAAAUAUAAAUCAUAUCAUCCUUUCUUCGGCAUUGCUGCAAGGUUUGCAUACAUUUUUGCCAUGCAAUUGAAUCCUCUAAUACCACCAGAACGGAGAAUAUUGCCCGCAGAAUGAUAAAGAACGAACUAUUAGUGAUAGAUAUAAAUGGGUAAGAACCUCAAACUUGUAAAACUAUAUAACUGGCAAAAGAAAAUAAAAUUUAUGUAACUAGCAAAAAACUCAUUAAUCUCAAGUAAUAAGAUUAUUGACGCAGUAGUAUAGUCUACUCAUGUUUACAUAGUAAAUGCACCUCAGCACAAAAACAAAUGUGUAACAAUGCCAGUCCAACACACAUCUAACCGGUGUGUUAACAUUACAAAUUGAUACAGUUGUACCAUUAUUCGUAAGCGUUACUUCAGUUUCAGUGGAAUGUCACUGACGGUGAAAAAAAUGGUCAAGGUCAUAUCUUCGUGACUCUUUGCAACCAGCCCUAAUUCUAUGACUACGAGCCAUUCCAAGUAUACUACAUAACUUUAUCUUAUACUUGUUGAAAAAUAAUGAUUGCGUAAAUCAUAAGACAACACAAUUUUGUAAGAUAAAUAUAAUAUGCUACUUGUAUGAAACUAGAUUUAUAAGAAAUGGCAAAAAAAUCACAUAAAACCAACAUUAUAUGGCAGUCUAAACAUUAAUUCACACACUCUGACAUCAUCAAUCAAAGACUGUAAAGUCUUGCACCAGAUCUUAAAAGUAAAGUUAAAAGGAAAUGGAUUCAGAUUUUAUAAGGUUUAAAUUAGACCAUCCAUUUUAUGAAUUGUGUUUGCUUAGCAAGAGAAUUGUUUUUAAAUAAUACUGAUAUAACAAAUGUUAUCUAAAAUACAAGUUUUUGUUAUAUUAUACAAAAAUAAAACACAUAUGUAUAAGCUAUCCAAAUGAUCCUCUUGAAACAAGGAUCCAUAAUAACACUAUGGUUAAUUUGUCCUCAAAAGCCCUUCCCCUCUCAAAUCUUUUUCAAAAGAAUGUCCUAAAUCAAUCUCCUAUAGAAUUUCCCCAACUUUUUUCUUUAUCUGAUUCAUCUUUUCAAGUCACCUCUCUCCAUUGACAUAAUAGCAAGAAUAAAGAAAUAAACAUAAGUUUUGAAACUAUAAUAUGAUAACAAAGCUUAAAGAAAGAACCAAAUAGAUAGAAAAGGAGAGUGAAAAUAGAUAUUCAUUGACAUAGUUAAUAAGACUUAGAACAAGACUAAUAACUAGUAACUUGUGUCAACAACUUUAAGCCCAUAACAUUAAUACUCAGAAAAACAGUAGCACAUUAAUACUCAAAAGUAACAGAUGCGAUAGAAAGCUUGACUGUGACAUAUAGUGUAAAAUUUAGCUUUGAGACAGACUGUAACUAACGAAUGGCAUGAUAAUAAUGAAAGGGAAAUUUUGAAACUCACAGUGGCACAAUGGUAUUAAGCUAAAUAACAUUAAUACUCAGAACAAAAGAGGAACAAUUUGAGUUCCAAAUCAACUGAAUAAAUUUCAAAUCACAAAAGGAAAAGAAAUCAUCCGAGGUCAAGCCCUUACCGAAUCGAAGUGUGGAACAAGGAGGUCGAAGUGAGGGCUUCCAAUUCUAGGGCUUGAGGGGGAUCGAACUGAGGACUUCCGAUUCUAGGGCUUGAGGGGGAUCGAACUGAGAGAGAAAAUUUCAUGAAGGGGGAUCGAUUCGGGGCAGCAAUCGAUUUUUCGUGAAGGUUGAGGGGGAUCGAUUAUGGGCAGCAAUCGAUUUUUGUUUGGAGUUCUUCUCAGUCAAAACACCAACUAGCGAGGAGAGAUAAUAUUUUGUAAGAAAAACACGGAGCCAGAAAAACGGAGCCUAUAUAUAG